UACGUAGGUGGCAAGCGUUGUCCGGAUUUACUGGGCGUAAAGAGCGCGCAGGCGGUCGUCCAAGUCGCGUGUGAAAGCCCCCGGCUUAACUGGGGAGGGUCAUUCGAUACUGUUCGACUUGAAGGCAGGAGAGGGCAGCAGAAUUCCCGGUGUAGUGGUGAAAUGCGUAGAUAUCAGGAAGAACACCGGUGGCGAAGGCGGCUCUCUGGGCCUUACCUGACGCUGAGGAGCGAAAGCGUGGGUAGCGAACAGG
rnacentral:rRNA from 1 species